GGCUCGGUAGCUUAGUUGGCAAAGCACUGGUCUAGCAUACAAGAGUCGUAGGUUCGAAUCACAUCUGAGCAC
rfam:Aedes aegypti strain Liverpool supercont1.539 genomic scaffold, whole genome shotgun sequence.